rnacentral:rRNA from 1 species
AGAGUUUGAUCCUGGCUCAGAUUGAACGCUGGCGGCAGGCCUAACACAUGCAAGUCGAACGGUAACAGGAAGCAGCUUGCUGCUUCGCUGACGAGUGGCGGACGGGUGAGUAAUGUCUGGGAAACCGCCCGAUGGAGGGGGAUAACUACUGGAAACGGUAGCUAAUACCGCAUAACGUCGCAAGACCAAAGAGGGGGACCUUCGGGCCUCUUACCAUCGGAUGUGCCCAGAUGGGAUUAGCUAGUUGGUGAGGUAACGGCUCACCAAGGCGACGAUCCCUAGCUGGUCUGAGAGGAUGACCAGCCACACUGGAACUGAGACACGGUCCAGACUCCUACGGGAGGCAGCAGUGGGGAAUAUUGCACAAUGGGCGCAAGCCUGAUGCAGCCAUGCCGCGUGUAUGAAGAAGGCCUUCGGGUUGUAAAGUACUUUCAGCGGGGAGGAAGGGGAUGUGGUUAAUAACCGCGUUCAUUGACGUUACCCGCAGAAGAAGCACCGGCUAACUCCGUGCCAGCAGCCGCGGUAAUA